rnacentral:rRNA from 1 species
GAUUACACUGUCUCUUGUAAUUGACCAAUGAAACUGAUCUUGUNGUCCAAAAGCUACAAUAAAAUCACCAGACGAGAAGACCCUGUGGAGCUUCAAACCAAAACCAAAAAAAUGGCCAUUUGAUUUUUAGUUGGGGCAACUUCGGAGUACACACCAACCUCCGACAAAAUAAGUCAAGACAAACAAGUCUAAACAAUUUUCCUGACCCAAUAGUCUACUCUAGACUAUUUGACCAAUGAACCAAGUUACCCCAGGGAUAACAGCGCUAUCCCCUUUUAGAGUCCCUAUCGACAAGGGGGCUUACGACCUCGAUGUUGGAUCAGGACACCCCAAUAAUGCAGCAGUUAUUAAAGGUUCGUUUGUUCAACGAUUAAAGUCCUACGUGAUCUGAGUUCAGACCGGA